CCUUAUAACUGGGAGGCUACUGGGAGGGACAGGUACUUUGACAGCCAGAAGUCAGUGUCAGGACUCUCACAUUUCAUCAGGUGAAGAGCUCUGAGUAACAGGACUGCGAGACAAGAACAUAACUGAGACAAAGAUGUGGGAGAGGACAGUACUCAUGUUACAAAUUAUUAGCUUCGUGGUGCAGUUCAUUACAACUUCAUCGCAAACUAUAACCACUACUCCAAAUGCAUCUACAACCACCUCUGCGUCCAUGACAACAUCUGCCUCUCCAAAUGCACCUACAACCACCUCUGCGUCCAUGACAACAUCUGCCUCUCCAAAUGUAACGACAAACACCUCAGCGUCCAUGACAACAUCUGCCUCUCCAAAUGUAACGACAAACACCUCUGCGUCUCUGACAACAUCUGCCCCUGCAAGCUUAGCUGUCAUCACCACUGGCCCCCAGAGUUCACUCUUCUCCACAGCUCUGGCAAACUCCACCACUUUUGCUCGUUCAUCCACCUCCAGAUCCACAGCUGCAUCCACAAUCGUGACUUCUUCUGCAUCCACUAUUUUCAAUUUCUCCAUCCUCAUCAUUGCCGGUGGGCUGAUCUGGGCAACUCGUGUCUACUAAAAGAAAAGCUGUGUGAAGGGCCACGCCGUACAAACGGAAGACCAGAUACGUUCCUCUGGAGUUACAACACUGCCACACUUUAGUGCUAGAUCUUGGGUUAAUCAGCGUUGACAUCACGAGUAUAAAUGUCACAUUUUUGGAGACAAGGCCAAAAUGUAAAUUAAAAUUUGCAAUAGUGUGAUUAAAGCCUUUAUAAUGAGA